rnacentral:rRNA from 1 species
CUACGGGCGGCUGCAGUGAGGAAUAUUGGUCAAUGGGCGCAAGCCUGAACCAGCCAUCUCGCGUGCAGGAGGACUGCCCUAUGGGUUGUAAACUGCUUUUAUAUAGGAAGAAACCUACUUACGUGUAAGUAGCUGACGGUACUAUAAGAAUAAGGAUCGGCUAACUCCGUGCCAGCAGCCGCGGUAAUACGGAGGAGCCAAGCGUUAUCCGGAUUUAUUGGGUUUAAAGGUGCGUAGGUGGUCUUAUAAGUCAGAAGUGAAAUCUGGCCGCUUAACGGUAAAACUGCUUUUGAAACUGUAGGACUGGAAUAUGGGAGCAGAAGGCGGAAUGAGUAAUGUAGCGGUGAAAUGCAUAGAUAUUACUCAGAACACCGAUUGUGAAGACAGCUUGCUAUACCAUUAUUGACACUGAUGCACGAAAGCGUGGGUAUCGAACAGGAUUAGAUACCCGUGUAGUC